AUUCCGGGACCACGCCUGGCUGAGGGUCGUUUAACAAACAUAACCAGACUGCUCGUGCAAGCGAGCGUAUUCCUGAGUGUUUCGUCGCGAUGCGCGAUGCGUGUGACGAGAGAGCAAUCUCACGUUGCCGCUCGCGUUUUCGCGGCGUCGCUCGAAAUAAUGGGCCAAACGGCAGACGUGUGUCGCGCGCGAGCGUGUUUGAACGCGAUAUGCACCAAAUAUACAGACACACACGUGUUGUUUGCGUCGAGUCCCGGAGCUCUCAAAUGCGGGCGGACCGAUGCAGCGCGCGCGCGUGUUUUGGUUGCAUGAAAUUGCACGCUCGUUGUUGGAACGAGAAACGCACACACGUAUGUCAUGUUUAAACUUUAACGACGACCUCAGAGCAGGCGAGACUACCCCC
rnacentral:misc_RNA from 1 species